rnacentral:rRNA from 1 species
CAAUGUAUUGAGCUAACUGAUACUAAUGAUCCGUGCGGCUUGACCAUAUAACCUCA